AUUGAACGCUGGCGGCAGGCUUAACACAUGCAAGUCGAGCGGAGAUGAGGUGCUUGCACCUUAUCUUAGCGGCGGACGGGUGAGUAAUGCUUAGGAAUCUGCCUAUUAGUGGGGGACAACAUUCCGAAAGGAAUGCUAAUACCGCAUACGUCCUACGGGAGAAAGCAGGGGAUCUUCGGACCUUGCGCUAAUAGAUGAGCCUAAGUCGGAUUAUCUAGUUGGUGGGGUAAAGGCCUACCAAGGCGACGAUCUGUAGCGGGUCUGAGAGGAUGAUCCGCCACACUGGGGCUGAGACACGGCCCAGACUCCUACGGGAGGCAGCAGUGGGGAAUAUUGGACAAUGGGGGAAACCCUGAUCCAGCCAUGCCGCGGGUGUGAAGAAGGCCUUAUGGUUGUAAAGCACUUUAAGCGAGGAGGAGGCUACUGAGACUAAUACUCUUGGAUAGUGGACGUUACUCGCAGAAUAAGCACCGGCUAACUCUGUGCCAGCAGCCGCAGUAA
rnacentral:rRNA from 1 species